GCAACCCAAAUGGCAUGAGCUGAAGAACUAUAGAUUUGGCCAUUGGAAAGCACCGGAAACCAAUGGAUCAGAAAACGUCAAAAAUUUCAGCAAUUCUAUUUGGGAUGAUAACAAAAUGAGACCUUAGUAUUGCCCAGGCAUCGUCACCGCCCACCGUGAUGGAAAUGGCAUCGCCAACUAGAUUCUAUUUGCCGAGUCCUGUCUUUCUUUGAUGGUUACAUAUCUGAGUCAGGUGAAGAGAACACACGAGUAGCAAGUCGGUUCCCACUCUUUUUUGGUUGACAUAUGAGAAAUAA
rnacentral:lncRNA from 1 species